rnacentral:rRNA from 1 species
UGGCCUCUUUCUUAAAGAUGUGUUUUUCUUUUUUUUGACAAACUUUGCUUUGGUAGGCCUUCUAUAUGGGGCCUGCCAGAGAUUAAACUCAACCAAAUUUUAUUUAAUGUCAACCGAUUAUUUAAUAGUCAAAACUUUCAACAACGGAUCUCUUGGUUCUCGCAUCGAUGAAGAACGCAGCGAAAUGCGAUAAGUAAUAUGAAUUGCAGAUAUUCGUGAAUCAUCGAAUCUUUGAACGCACAUUGCGCCCUUUGGUAUUCCAAAGGGCAUGCCUGUUUGAGCGUCAUUUCUCCCUCAAACCCUCGGGUUUGGUGUUGAGCGAUACGCUGGGUUUGCUUGAAAGAAAGGCGGAUAUAAACUAAUGGAUAGGUUUUUUCCACUCAUUGGUACAAACUCCAAAACUUCUUCCAAAUUCACCUCAAAUCGAGAUACCCGCUGAAUUAAUUAAUAAGGAGGAAAGUUU